ensembl:lncRNA
GUCAAAAACAAUGUGUCAAUGCUUAACCUUGUGUGUGAGCGAGGAGGUCAGGAUUCUGUGGAAGGGAGUACUACCGUUGGCCAGAUGGGGGUGCUACAAUGCCAGGGAUCCAGUGAGCCAGCCUGCAAUAGUGGACCCAGCUCCCCUGAUCCGGUUCCUCCAAGCAGGGAUGCAGACAAAGAGUUUGACGGGGUGCAAUGUCUGUUUUUGUUAUUUUAGCACUUUGUUUUUUUAGCUUCAGACUGAGAAAUGGUUGAGAAGUUGAGUGAAUUUCUCCAUUCGUUCAGCAACUGCGUACAUUAAGCGGGCAUCAAUCAAGCACAAAGGGAAGACUUGAGCAUGUAUAAAUGUGUGUGUGUUUACCAAGCUAUUUCAUACAGGCAUGAUGAAAAUAUGAAAUGCUUUGUCUUCAUAGCAAAGCUUUAUCAAAACAACUACUGCAGAGGAUUUUGGACUUUAAAAUCCCCAUUCACCUGCCACCAACUGGAGCAGCUACUGCUCCUGAGCGUGCAUACAAGAUAGAGAACAUGAUGUGAUGACACAAAGCAAUGUGUAUCCUACCUGAACUGCUUCAGUCCUGUACUGGCACAAGACGGGGGUCAUCUUACCAACAGUGGUUUCAUUAUUCUCACCAGCCAUGGCUGCACGUCUGUUCCCCGUCUCAAACACAUACAGUAUCCUCUGUGAACCCCGCAUCCCUUCCCAGACCUUUUUAUUCAACCAAAAGUUUGAUAUUAUAAUACGUGCUAAAUCUAUGUUGUUAAAUCCAAACAUCAGUGACAGUCAGAAUGGAGAAGAAAUGUAUGUUAGCUAUUGUCGAAUCGUACGGAAGAAUACAUUUCCCUUUUGGAAAAGAGAAAGUGCAGGAAUGAAAGAGAACAGGGCAUGAUUUCUGUAUGAGAUGGGACAGCACUUGACAUGUAUUAUCUAAAGUAUGGAGAAUUAAAAAAGAGAAAAGAGAGAGGCAGUAGCUGGCUGUCUACUCAAUGACACAUUUAAAACAGCGUUAGAUCCAUCUGUUUUAAGGGGUACAUGGGUCUUUGUGGUCAAUUCCCUAAAUUAUCUUAGAAUCUGCGGUUGAUAAUAUCAAACUGUUUUAAAUGAAACAUAAAAUAUCUCUAUCAGCUUUUUGGCUAUAAAGCACAGACAGACAGAACGCGCCACCAGUGAUGACACAGCC